rnacentral:sRNA from 1 species
CGUCAACGCAGGGAGGAUCCUAUGGGACUUACACAUUCGUUGAAUGUCCUCAUGAUCAGUGCAGCGUUCGCAUUCGUGGCCAUCAUGCUCUUCGUCUGACGAAAGGCCGCUGAAAGUCCAAGCCGGGGACUUAAAUUUCCGGAAAGUCCAAUUCGCAGCAGAACAGGUAAGACAGGCCGCUCCGAGAGCACACGGUCUUG